ACGGCAUAUCUAGAAGGCGUUUAGAGGUGAGCUGAACUCACGGUGUAGGGUGAAAUCCGUUGAUAUCUCGGCGAAUACCAAAUGCGAAGGCAGCUCACUGGGACGUUCUUGACGCUGAGGCACGAAAGCAUGGGUAGCGAACGGGAUUAGAUACCCCGGUAGUCCAUGCCCUAAACGCUGUCUGCUAGUCAUAGGGAGAAUCGACCCUUUCUGUGACGUAGGUAACCCGUUAAGCAGACCGCCUGGGUAGUACGAGCGCAAGCUUAAAACUCAAAGGAAUAGACGGGGGCUCGCACAAGCGGUGGAGCGCGUGGCUUAAUUCGUCGCUAAGCGAAAAACCUUACCAAGGCUAGAUAUCCUACUGCACGACCGGGGAAACUCGGUAAGCUUUCGAAGGUGUAGGACAGGUGAUGCAUGGCCGUCGUCAGUUCGUGGCUUGAGCUGUUCCCUUAAGUGGGGAAACGAACGCAACCCUCGUUGCCUGUUACAAGUGUCAGGCGAGACUGCUCCCUCACGGGAGAGGAAGGUGAGGAUGACGCUAGGUCAGCAUGUCCCUUGAUGCCUUGGGCUGCACACACGCUACAAUGGAACGCACAACGGGACGCCAUACCGUAAGGUGGAGCAAAUCCUAAUAAAACGUUCCUCAGUUCGGAUUGUGGGCUGCAACUCGCCCACAUGAAGUCGGAAUCGCUAGUAAUCGCGGAUCAGCACGCCGCGGUGAUACGUUCCCGAGCCUUGUACUCACCGCCCGUCAAGUCAGGGGAGUCGGGAGUGCCCGAAGUACUGCCUCGAGCAGUCCUACGGUAAGCUCGAUAANAAGGACUAAGUCGUAACA
rnacentral:rRNA from 1 species